AUCGCCGACGCCUCCACCUCCUGCCUCGCCGGACGCCUGCUGCCGGCUGCCCUGCUCUGCUGCAAUCGAUAGUCGUCCUCCACCUCCAGUCUCGCCUGACGCUGUUGCCGGCUGCCCUGCUCCGCCGCUAAUCCUCAUCGCCGGACGCCUGCUGCAGUCGAACUCUAAGGAUUGGUGGUGUAUAUCCCCUGACUCAUGCCUCACCAAGUUGGUCUUCUUGGCAAACUCCUGUCUUCACUGUUUAGAGAAUGCCGACGAUCAAUGACCACCAGCAAGAGAGUGCAAGACCGGAGCAAGAAGAAGCGAGUGCAUGACCUUGAAAUUGUUGUAGAGAAGCACAAAAUCCUCUCCAAAAUCCUCUUCAUACUUGAAACUCUGAAGCAAGAGUCCGAGCAAAUCAUCCCUGUACGUUCCCUUGAUCAGUACCGGAGGCAAAUUAACCUCCCAAAACCUCACAAGUUCUCAGUUUUCCUUCGGAAAUGUCCCAAGCUUUUUGAGCUUUAUAAGGACCAGAGGGGAAUUUUAUGGUGCGGAAUGACUAAAGAAGCUGAAAAUCUGCUGCAUGAAGAGGAAGAACUCAUAGAAAAGAAUAGUGAUAAGGCUGCAGAGUUUGUGACUCGGAUGCUAAUGAUGUCAAUUGGUAAGCGUAUUAGUCUGGAUAAGAUUGUGCAUUUCAGGAGGGAUAUAGGGUUGCCACUGGAUUUUAGGAGCCAUUGGGUGCACAAAUAUCCCGAAUAUUUUCGAGUUGUGAGGCCUUUUGUGCCUUAUGAUGAGGGUGAGUAUUUGGAACUUGUGAAUUGGAAGUCUAGUUGGGCAAUUACUGAGUUGGAAAAGAAGGUGCUGGGUGUUAGCAAGGCCCCCGAAGAUUAUGUUCCAGGUUUUCUUUCUCUGUCUUUCCCAAUGAAGUUCCCACCUAACUAUAAGAAGCUGUCCAAGUACAGAGGUCAGAUUGAGAACUUCCAGAACAGGGAGUAUUUGUCCCCUUAUGCAGAUGCUAGUGGAUUAAAGGCUGGGUCACAGGAGUUUGAUAAGAGGGCAGUGGCUGUGAUGCAUGAAUUGCUUAGUUUUAUGAUUGAGAAGAGGCUUGUGACAGAUCAUUUGACACAUUUUAGGAGGGAGUUUGUGAUGCCUCAGAAGCUUAUGAGACUAUUGCUCAAGCAUUUUGGCAUCUUUUAUGUUUCAGAGAGAGGGAGGAGAUUUAAUGUGUUCCUGAACGAGCCUUAUGAAGGUUCAGAGUUGGUUGAGAAACAUCCUCUGGUUGUUUGGAAAGAAAAGGUUCUUAGCCUUGUUGGCUACAGAAAGAAGAAAGAUAAAGAAGAGACCUUGGAGGAUUUACAAGAAAGUGACACGGACUUAUUUGAGAUUGAUUCGGAAGAUUAUAGUGUUCAAUUAGCACAUGAGAAUGAGGAGGAGGAGAUGAGUGGUUUGGAGAGUGAUUCAAUUGAAAGUGACUCUGAAAUGGAGAUUGAAGAGAUUUACAAUGCAUAUAAAGUAUCCGAAUGAAGCCGUUCUAGCUCAACUGGCCUAGGUAUAGGCAUUUUUGCAGGGAUUCUUUAUUGCGGUCUGCUAUAUCUACAGUUGGCAAUCUACCUGCAGUCUUCUAAUGCUUUAAAAUUCUUAGGCCAGUAAUUGGUAAUGAAUUCUACUAUCAACUUGUUCAUGGCACUUAUGGUUUUCUGGGGUUGGAUGCUUCUGCAGGUGAUGGAUCAUGAAAGUUACCAGAAAUUCAACACAUUAUGCAGUCAACUGGAUUAUGAUUUCGGAACUAUAAGUUAUCAUCCAUCGCUCAGAAAGUGCAUGUAGAUGUCAACAGCCUCAGUAACACAUCAAGGUUUAGGUAAUCGAGUGAUCAUUUGUUCCUUCGUUCUUGUUUGCACUAACAUAUUAUGAUACCCAGUGAAAAUUUUGACGUUUUGGACAAUGAAAUGCUGGUAGUUAUGUAGCUAAAAGAUUACCAGCUCAGACUUGUGAAAUGGGCAUACGAAUGACUGAAUGAGUGUAGUGUUUUUUUUUUUGUUUCAAUAUUUCUGUGUAUUUUUUAGAGUUGAAAGGAUACUGCCCAGAAAAAUGUAUUAACCAAUAGUUUUUAUGUUCAUGUAAUUUAUUAGUAGUAUUUACAAGGUUGAUUUUAUUUUCAAACUUGAAAGAAAUGGCUUUAGGCAUUAAGAGAAUUAUUUAUUUUGUACAAUAAAUAAACUUUUGUUUAUUUUAA